UUUUCGUCCUUCUAGGAUUGCUAGCGGGUGGUGUUAUGCCAGGCACUCUUUAGACAUUUGGGCAGAAUGGCACGGGGAUGUGACGCCAUGGCUGAUAAAGAGGACCACGAGAACGGGGAGUGUGAAAUCCCGAUGAUCCAGAUCGACAGCAAGGCGAUAGAAGUGGCCAACGAAUCUCUGUUAGUCGAAGAUGACGACGACGCCGCCGUCUUCCUGCAGGAGCUGGGCAUCAACUUCGGCAUCACGGCCAGAUCGAAGGGCAGGGCAUCCGUCUUCCAGAGCGUGGAAGUUUCCCGCGAGGGCUCGGCCGUCUCUUCGGGCAUGUCCUCCGUGAUCUCCCGGCAGAAGUCCUCCAGGACCUUGGUCGACGUCGUCAGUAGGGUCACCCAGGGCGGAGAAGGUCAGCUGUAUCGUCUGCUCUCUGCCAAAAGGAACCACGUGCAGCAGCUCAACAGCGACAUCAUCUUCCUGCAGCGCAGGA